ACGGAGGGGGCAAGCGUUGUUCGGAAUUACUGGGCGUAAAGGGCGCGUAGGCGGCUAUAACAGUCAGGCGUGAAAGCCCCGGGCUUAACCUGGGAACUGCGUUUGAUACUGCAUAGCUAGAGAUUGGAAGAGGAGAGUGGAAUUCCAAGUGUAGAGGUGAAAUUCGUAGAUAUUUGGAAGAACACCAGUGGCGAAGGCGGCUCUCUGGUCCACAUCUGACGCUGAGGCGCGAAAGCGUGGGGAGCAAACAGG
rnacentral:rRNA from 1 species